AUAUUUGCCGAAAUAUAUUUAAUAAUGUUUUUAUAAUACGAAUAUUGAAUUUAAAUAGUUUAAAAAACGCUCCUGCCGCUUUCACUGCUAAUCGUCCAGAAACGCCGAUGGAGCACCCUUCUUUUUCUUGGAUUUCGACUGUCCCGCCUUAGUUUUUGCUUCUGGCUUUUUUCCUGCCUUGACGGCUGCGUUCGGUGUGCAACGAACACGAGCAGAAGGUGUUUUGGUCUUCUUGCCCUUUCGUUGCUUGCUAUUCUUGCCCGGCAGCGGACCCUUUGCCUUCACACAACUUAGUGUCUGGCUGUGCGUGUAGCUGGGCCGCCAUCAAAGUCCAUAAUUCACUUUCGCUGUAAUUUUGUUUGUUUUGAUUGGUAUAUUUGCCGAAAUAUAUUUAAUAAUGUUUUUAUAAUACGAAUAUUGAAUUUAAAUAGUUUAAAAAACGCUCCUGCCGCUUUCACUGCUAAUCGUCCAGAAACGCCGAUGGAGCACCCUUCUUUUUCUUGGAUUUCGACUGUCCCGCCUUAGUUUUUGCUUCUGGCUUUUUUCCUGCCUUGACGGCUGCGUUCGGUGUGCAACGAACACGAGCAGAAGGUGUUUUGGUCUUCUUGCCCUUUCGUUGCUUGCUAUUCUUGCCCGGCAGCGGACCCUUUGCCUUCACACAACUUAGUGUCAGGCUGUACGUGUAGCUGGGCCGCCAUCAAAGUCCAUAAUUCACUUUCGCUGUAAUUUUGUUUGUUUUGAUUGGUAUAUUUGCCGAAAUAUAUUUAAUAAUGUUUUUAUAAUACGAAUAUUGAAUUUAAAUAGUUUAAAAAACGCUCCUGCCGCUUUCACUGCUAAUCGUCCAGAAACGCCGAUGGAGCACCCUUCUUUUUCUUGGAUUUCGACUGUCCCGCCUUAGUUUUUGCUUCUGGCUUUUUUCCUGCCUUGACGGCUGCGUUCGGUGUGCAACGAACACGAGCAGAAGGUGUUUUG